GACAAAAUGAGCAUUGCUGCGGGAACAACAGAAGCUUAUCUGUUGUUCAGAUUUGGAUAAUGGGAGCAGCCUUGGGCCCUUUUAGGAUAAAAAUGUGGUCAGUAGAAUUGAUCAAUAUCCCUUUUUUUAUGUCUUUUGAUUAUGGAACUACAACUUCUGGAAAAGCUGAAAGCUCUUCUGCAUGUGAUAUGAGCACUGGAGUAAAAAAAUGCUGUAAAGCAGAUGAAGCCACUAUGUAUUUCCAAGAGAGCUCUGGACAGUUCUGAAGAUCAUUGCUUUUCAUGAUUCUGAAGGAGCUGAAAUGAUCAAAUUUGCCUCUCUUUGAGCAUGCUAAACAAAAAUUAGCCACAUUUCAUAUAUGUGCAAAAUGCUAGCCAGAUGCUAAAGGCCCAGCUCAAAGAGUCCAUCUUAAAACUUGUAGAAUGAUUCAAAACUUCUUUUGCCUGACAUUCUGCAGCUUUCUGUUCUGGAGCACAUUGAAACUCAUGAUUAUCAACAUCUAGUAAGCAAUGAAGAAAAAAAAAUGUGCUGUGGUGUACAGAAAGGCAGAGGAUAUGACAUAUGCAUUUCUUUCCUGUGGGCAAUCUUUGACUCUUACAAGGGCAACAGUCCAGAUGCAUACAUAUGUGUGUAUGGGCAGCCCUGGGGGCUGCGUUGGCGGGCGGUGGGGACUUGGGGCGGGCCGAUGGCAGGUGGCGGGUGCGGGGUGGCUGUUGAGGCUGUGAGGAUGAUGCGCUGACGCCAUCUUGGCCUAUGCCUCCCACAGGUUUGAGAGAACUGACGUACCUGUCGAUCUGUUCAGAGGGAAAAAUUACACAAUUUAAAUAUUUACAGCAUCGUGGUCUUGUCAAAAUGGAAUGUCAAGAGCCUUUUAUUCAGAAGAUUGAUUUUUCUUGUUUCUUGUUUCUCAUUAAUAUGAAGGAAAUCCUCCAUGUUACUGAGAUUAUUUCUGUUUUACAAAUAGGAGAACAGAGUUAGAAGACUGAAAUAACUUGCCUAAGACAGUAGAAUCUAUAGGUUAAAUCUGUUCCUAGUUUGAGUUUCUGGAUUUACAUUGUUUCAUUCAAGUUUACAUUCAAGUUUCUGGAUUUACAUUAAGUAUUAAUUUGGUCUGAGCAUUCUGAGUGAUCAUUUCUUUGAGUUGCAAUGGAAUUUCACUAGGGAAUAUCAAGAAGCCAAUUGACCAGGAGCUAUCAGUUUCACUGCAGUUUCUGAUUAGCCUGUAUGAAGAAAACAGGUUGCUUCACCAAAUUUAGAGGAGACCUCCCACCAAGAUGCUGGCCACCAUAUGAGUGAAGUCUGCAAUGAAGACUUUACUGACGGGGAUCAAGCAGAAUCUUGGCAUAAACAGGAAAAAAGAAUAGAAUUAUGGCCAGAUGGAAUAUGCAUGGCAUUGGAGCAGAGUUGGGGAGUUAAAGAGGAGCCUAGAGCAUCAACAGCUCUACAGCUAUGUUUGCUUGACUUUCUGUGCUUCAGUUUAGUAUUUGCAUUAGGAAACAUCUCAGAUGUUGGUAAGAAUGUUGUUAACUUGUCAGGAUUUAUGUUAUUCUCUUAGUAAAUUGAGAUAAUGAUAUACUGAUGUUGGUGAAGUCUUUUUGCUUUUCAGAAAGGCUAAUAAAUAAUAAAAGCUAAUUUAUACACAUAAUUUAUACACAUAAUUUGUUAUGUAGAAAUGCUCUUUCUCAAGAAGCCUGGAGUGACAAGGUAUCUGAAUUGAAAAAGUAAAAUAGACUUGCUACGGUUCUGUUAAUCUAGAACUUUGGGGCUAGUUAUUAAAUUGAAAGGCUAUUCUGUAAUGAACUACCCAUGGUAGAAUGGUAAGAAUGCAUUGCAGUAUAAUUUUGAAAAACAGUCUUGCCUACCCAAAUGUGUUAAUUUGUGCUGUGAUGCUGUAUUAUGAUAAAGAAUGUGUAAAACAGAUUGAAAAUAGGGUACACUUGAAAGAGAGUCUCCCUGAAGCUUUUCUUCAGCUGAAUAUUUUGACCACAAAGUCUACUCGCUUCUGAUAGGAUGUGUUAGGGUAACAAUUCAUCUGGUGUUUGGUAGUAAAAAAAUCUAUCUCUAGUCUCUCCUCUAAUAAACCUGUAACUUUCUGUAAUCAUUUUAUUAUGACUCCUCAGCAUUAAACACAAUAAA